GUUUGACGUUAGCGACAGAAGAAGCACCGGCUAACUCCGUGCCAGCAGCCGCGGUAAUACGGAGGGUGCGAGCGUUAAUCGGAAUUACUGGGCGUAAAGCGCAUGCAGGUGGUUUGUUAAGUCAGAUGUGAAAGCCCGGGGCUCAACCUCGGAAUAGCAUUUGAAACUGGCAGACUAGAGUACUGUAGAGGGGGGUAGAAUUUCAGGUGUAGCGAUGAAAUGCGUAGAGAUCUGAAGGAAUACCGGUGGCGAUGGCGGCCCCCUGGACAGAUACUGACACUCAGAUGCGAAAGCGUGGGGAGCAAACAGGAUUAGAUACCGUGGUAGUCCACGCCGUAAACGAUGUCUACUCGGAGGUUGUGGCCCUGCGCCGUGGCUUUCGGAGCUAACGCGUUAAGUAGACCGCCUGGGGAGUACGGUCGCAAGAUUAAAACUCAAAUGAAUUGACGGGGGCCCGCACAAGCGGUGGAGCAUGUGGUUUAAUUCGAUGCAACGCGAAGAACCUUACCUACUCUUGACAUCCAGAGAACUUUCCAGAGAUGGAUUGGUGCCUUCGGGAACUCUGAGACAGGUGCUGCAUGGCUGUCGUCAGCUCGUGUUGUGAAAUGUUGGGUUAAGUCCCGCAACGAGCGCAACCCUUAUCCUUGUUUGCCAGCGAGUAAUGUCGGGAACUCCAGGGAGACUGCCGGUGAUAAACCGGAGGAAGGUGGGGACGACGUCAAGUCAUCAUGGCCCUUACGAGUAGGGCUACACACGUGCUACAAUGGCGCAUACAGAGGGCGGCCAACUUGCGAGAGUGAGCGAAUCCCAAAAAGUGCGUCGUAGUCCGGAUUGGAGUCUGCAACUCGACUCCAUGAAGUCGGAAUCGCUAGUAAUCGUGGAUCAGAAUGCCACGGUGAAUACGUUCCCGGGCCUUGUACACACCGCCCGUCACACCAUGGGAGUGGGCUGCAAAAGAAGUAGGUAGUUUAACCUUCGGGGGGACGCUACCA
rnacentral:rRNA from 1 species